AACAAUGGAUCAAUAUAGAAAAGGGUGCCAUAUGCCCUUUUCCCUCAAUAUAAGCAUUUGGUUUUCCAGCUGUGGCAAUAAUUUGGAAUGAUUCCUGAAGUCCAGAAAACAGUAAAUUUAGAAAGUAAAUGAACAAGAAUCUUAUUCAAGUGACGAAUUUAGCUUUCCCAACAGCACUAUUCAAUUCAGAGGAUGCUGAAGUCUCUACAAGGCAGUCAGUCCUGCAACAACUGAAGUAUGGAACUUGACAUGUACAAGAGCAUUUGAGGGCCCAUAACAUGGAAAAAUCCGCUUUGGAAAUGAAGCAGAAAAUUGCAUCUAGAGAUCACUUUUAAGUGUCAUCAUGUAACUACUGCAGAGUGAAAUUCAUUGGUCUGUCCCUGAACACACGUAAAUAUAACACUUGGAUAAAAAUAGUACCAAUAAAUAAUCUUCAGCCAGAAACCAACAAUGUAAAGAAGAAAACGUGUAGCAAAUAGUGCACAAUUGCAUUUAAUAUAAAGAAGGUAGCAAACAAUCAAA